GUCUCACUAAGUCGCUAAGGUGUCCCAACUAGGCUUAAAUUUGUGACCCUCCACGGUGCUGGAGGUCCGAUAUGAAGUGGCCCCAGUCAGCCUGGAGGAGUCUAGGAAGGGAGACUGGACCCUCCUGAGGGAGGGGUGUCUCAUCUCCCAGGUUUUCGGCACCAGUUGUUAGAGUAAAUGAAGGCACGACAGAGACCACCAGAGCAGGCAAAAAUGAAGCAACAAGAGAGCUUUUAUUUCCAACUGGGUACAGAAGACACUUUGGAUUCUUCACCUGGGAGCCAGUGAACGAUCAACCCAUUAAAGCUAGCACCACCUGAAUUGUUUGAAGAACAAGAUCGCCCAAAAGGAAAAAGCUACUCCUGUGAGCCUCUGGAAGACCUGAGAUAUCUUUUUAAAAAGCAAGCCUGCAGUCCAGCUACAAGCAAGAAAACAAGAUUUUGCUAAGGCCCCAAUUCUAAGACUCUUGGCAU
rnacentral:lncRNA from 1 species